CUUACCGGAGGACUCAUGGACCCUGAUCCAGCACCUCAUUUAACCGAGAACUACUUCACCCGGUAAGGCACGCCUUUUUCCGCCGUUGCCUUACUGGAACAUGUAAUGCAGCGGCGUCUU
rnacentral:ncRNA from 2 species